rnacentral:rRNA from 1 species
AGCCACAAUCAUAUCGCCCAGCAGUCCAAGACAAGUCAUUCACUGAAGCUAAGCAAAGCUGAGCCUGGUCAGUACCUGAGUAGGAGACCACAUAGAAAAACUAGGUUGCUGUUGAAA